UUGCAGAUAUGUUGGUUACAUCGUGGGUUCUGGGUUGGUGGUAGCAUGACGAUUGGUUGGUGAUGGGGGUGGGUUGGUCCUCUUCAUUCUUAUUUCUGGGUUUCUGGUGGUGGGGGUUCACUGAGAUUGAAGAUAUGAGAUGAGGUGGUGUGGUGGCGUGGAGAUAGGUGGUGGUGAUUGUGGUGGGUUCUGGGUUGGGGGUGGGUUCUGGGUGGUGGUCCGUUCUGGGUUGGUGGUUCUGGGUAAUGGAUGGUGGUGAGUUAUGGAUUGGUGUGUGAUGGUGGUGGGUUCUGGUCACUCCCUUCCUCCAGAUCUGCAGAAGCCAGGGCCAAAACGUGAAGGUGGCUUGGGUGACUGGCUGAGGAAGGUGGAGAGAUCUGGGUUAUUUUGUUUCAGAUCUGUUGAUGUUGAUGUUGAUGAUGAUGAACUGGUUCUGAAUUCAAGUUUAGUAGAUCCAAUUAAUUUAAUUAAAAUUAUCACAAGUUAUUUAUUAUAAUUAAUAAAUAUGUAUUUUUAUUUAUUUUUUAAAAAACCGGAAAAACCUGCUAGUGCAGGUCAAAAGGGCAAUGUGUAACCUUACACAAGCUUUCAAAUGUGUACCGUAAAUUCCUCCCAAGUAUAUAGGCUAUAUUUGGCAUGUUUAGCUGAUAAGCUAGCUGAAAGCUGAAAAGCUAGCUGAAAGCUUAUAAGCUAACUGAUAGCUGAAAGCUGAUGGCUGAAAGCUGAAAAGCUACGUGAUUGAAACAAAAGUGUUUGGUAGAACUAGCUGUUAAACAAGCUGAAAUUGUAAAAUGACAUAAAAUGACAUACUUGUAUAAUUAUUUUUAGAGUUUAAUGGAUAUGCACUGACAGUGUAAAAUAGUUUUACACAGACAUCCAAUUGAAUUCCGCCAAAUCAGAAAAUAUCUUAUUCUUUUAAUUAAAAUUAAAGUCAAAUGUAAUUAUCUCUCCUACGUGGCAUGCUUUGAUUGGAU
rnacentral:lncRNA from 1 species